CCGUCGGUACGAUCCGUAAUUUCCACUCGACGAAAGCAACUCUGUCAUUUCAGAGAGUGCCUGUGCAAGGAAAAGAGAAGCGAGCCUUGUCUGAGAAGAGAGAAUGGAAAGGUGUUUGCUGCAAUUAUCAACCUUACCUGCGUAACACGGAUGAACUUGGUGAAGACUUCAGCUCGCUGUUGAGGUGUGGGCCUAUUGAGGACCAUGACCUGCACCCACUGAGAGAUGCUGUUGCAUAAGGCGAUGGCACGCUCUAGCGCUGGACUGCCCCGCACUGACCCACAAAGUACGUAAUUCCGGAAGUCUAGGUACUGACCAAUAUAAGAAUAAUACAAUAAAAAGUCAUGUUCUACUGAUCAGGCCACUCUAAGUAAACUGCUUUUACACAUCUUUGUUCAAUCUAGCAUCCUAAGUAGAUGACUAGAUUUUGGACAUUUGAUAACUAAAUGUACCCUUUAAUGGUUGUGUAGUACCUGGAAUUUUAGCAAGUGCUGCUUAUUAUUCAACCAAAUAGCAAACAACUUCUGUUGAAAUUCCUUCUUCUGUACCAGGUCUUCUUAAACAUUCCCACUUGGGACAAAAAAAAUAAUUAUGUGACCCUGGAUAUAUCUAUAUAUAUAAAAGGGUAAUGAAAUUUCGGCCUAGGACAAAACAACAAAACUACACAUCCCAGAAACACUAAACUUGCCAGCACAACCCCUCGUCCAUGCCUCUACGUUCAUACAACAAAAAGGAAAGAAAAAUAAAGUCCUAAUUAGAGGGAGAGGAAUAAUUGUUUUUAUCCAAUUGCUGCUAGUUAGAAGGCUAAGCUCCGCCCACUUGGUCUCCUAGCAACCCACUCAGCCCAGGGCGCAGGCAGAGUUAGGCCUCUUCCACACUGCUUAUAAAAUACAGAUUAUCUGAUUUUAACUGGAUUAUAUAGCAGUGUAGACUCAAGGCCCUUCCACACAGCUAUAUAACCCAUUUAUAAUGGACUUAAUGUCAGGGGAAAACCUUUACUCUUUACCUUAACUACCACCAAUUCCUCAAUACUUUAUUUCCCAUACCACCAUACUUCGCCACAGCAACGUGUGGCCGGCCACAGCUAGUAGGUAUAUAAAAUAAGUCAAAACCCAAACAUUUCCUGAUAACAAAGAAGCAUUUGCAAGGUUUGCUAAACAGACUGAUAUUCCUUUCAUGAAGUAUAACUGAAGCAUCUUCUGUAAAGUCCACUGCACAACUGAUUCCUGUAAAUGUCUAAAACACCCAUUAGCUGGCAUUCAGAAAAAAAAAUCCCAGACCCCAACAUUGAGCAAAGGAGAACCCAUUUGGGGUUGGGAUCACAGUUUAAGAAGCAGUGUUCUAUACAACCAUUAAAAGUACAGAAGCCAUUUCCAGUUUUCAAUGUGAAAACCUUAGAUCUACUACACUCUGAGUGAAGCAACUGUGGGAGCCAAAGGACACCCUGGAGGGAUGCUUCCCACACCACACAUCCCACAUCCAUGAAAAUUGAAAUGCCCUCAAACAUGCCACCUUGAGUUUUUGUAUAGGGAGAAAGGUGGGAUAAAAAUAAAGUAAGUAAAUUAAAGAAAAGAUCCUUUAGAAGACAGGGCAGACAUUUCGUCAUUUUUUUUUGCUGCUGCAACAGGGUCAUUUUAGGGCUAGGAAGGGCCUUAUUUAACAGGAAGUGAAUAUAAUUUCCUGUUUGCUUCCUUUUUAAAAAAUGCCUCUCCUGGACUACAAAUGGCUUAGGUCUCUAUUUGAGAUCGUUGCAUAAAACCGAGAAAUGAAGCAUCAACUUCAGGUUGUGGGGAGUGAUCAACUUGACUAAAUGGUCACUUUGCAGCAACCAGAUGUGCAUUUGCUGGUGAACCACUACAGUCAUAAAGAGACAACUGGCCAAAGAAUGACAAGUACAUGUGGCAAGUGGCCAUAGCACCCACUGGAAUGUUGUUUUUUUUAAAAAAAUCAAUUUAACAGCCAUUGGGAUUGUUGUUGGAGAGUGGCUAAGGGUGUUUUUUUUUUUUUUACUCAGAAAGGCUAAGGAAGUGCAUAUUAGUGACGCCUCCAUUAAAGCAUCCUAAGGAGAGGUUUAAAGUUCUUCUGAAGGACCAGAAUCCUUUUGGUGGUUUGCAAUGGCACAAUUUCACUUGCUGUUGUGUGCCUUCAGAUUGUUUCUGACUUACAGUGACCCUAAGCCUCUUCCAAUGUGUAGUCUAUCACAUUUGGUUUUUACCAGUUCUUAUAGCCACACAUUGGCCCCAAUUUUAUUUUCUUGUGCAGCUUUAUAUUUAUUUACUUUUUAUUUACUUUCUCUCCAUAGGGACUCAAGGCAGCUGUGACAUGACACAAUACAAUAGAAUUUUAAAAACAA